GUGCCUUUCAACCUUUUUCUAUAACUCAUCAGUUUACAUUUAAACUACAAAGCGUAGACAACAAAAAUCCUUCUUAGAAAAUUUCUUCAAAAAACGUAUAUCUAACGCUAACAAAAUUGCGAUCUAUAAGUGGGAGGACCAACUAACUAAGGACAAGUCCACCACCAUGAUUCACGGUUGCUUCGAAUUUUAUUUGAUUAUUCUUAUCUGCCUUGCCAUAGUGCAUAUAUUUCAUAGUUUUUUGUAUCGGCUUGAGUCUGAUUAUGACUAACGUGUAUGCCCUGGAGUCGAAGGACCUAACUGAAAUGAUAGCUGAAAUGAUCUACACCCUAGCUGAUAUUUUUAUACCGACGAUGAUAAAUAUACGGGACCACUUUAUGGAAAAAUAAUCCAAGAAAGAAUAAUCCAUCACAUUUUGAAGCUUUAUUAUGUAUACAUAGUUUUACAUUUGUUUAAAUUUGAAUUAUUAAAUAUGGCUGCUAGUUAA